UCCUACAAACAAGAAUUGAGAAAAAUGAGCAGCUCUUUACUUUUGCUGGUGUGAGUGAGAAGACAGAGUUGUCUGGGACUGACAGAUCUCCCGGCUCUUAAUGUCAGAAUCUUUGGAUGAGAAUGUAGCUUCUACCCUACUAGGUCGGACCAAAAAUUGGCAACUUCUGCAAAUGGCUCACGGGUUCCGCAAAUUGCUGAUGAGGGCAUCACUGGCUAGGCCAGCAUUUAUUGCCCAUCCCCAAUUGCCCAGAGGACAGUUAUGAGUCAUGGGUAGGCCAGACCAGAUAAGGAUGGUGGUUUCCUUCUCUAAACGACACUAGUGAACCAGAUGGGAUUUUCCAACAAUCAGCAAUGGAUUCAUGGUCAUCAUUAGAAUACUAAAUCCAGGUGUUGCUUGACCUACUGAAUAUUUCGAAUACUUCCUGGUUUUGUUUCAGAUCUCAGACAAAAUCACAUAAUCUGCAUAAAUAAAUAAAUAAAUAAAUAAUCUGC